GAAAUGUGAUAAGUAAUGUGAAUUGCAGAAUUCCGUGAAUCAUCGAAUCUUUGAACGCACAUUGCGCCCUCUGGUAUUCCGGGGGGCAUGCCUGUCCGAGCGUCAUUGCGAACCCCUCAAGCACGGCUUGUGUGAUGGGCCCUCCCGCGUCUUGGUCGUCAAGACGGGCCCGAAAUGCAGUGGCGGCUUCGCGGUUAUCCGAUCAGCCAGAGCGUAUGGGGACUUUCUCUCUGUCACACGCCCGCGGCGCGGACCGACGCCUGUCGACCUUCAUUCAUCGUUUUCUCGGUUGACCUCGGAUCAGGUAGGGAUACCCGCUGAACUUAAGC
rnacentral:misc_RNA from 1 species